GGGGAUAUGGCGAAAUCGGUAGACGCUACGGACUUAUCCGUCGACUUUAAAAAUCGUGAGGGUUCAAGUCCCUCUAUCCCCAA
rnacentral:tRNA from 1 species